rnacentral:rRNA from 1 species
UUGAAAUAAAGAGGAAGAAACAAGGUAUCCGUUGGGAACCAGCGGAGGGGAUCAUUC